AAAACGGCCCUUUUCAGGGCCACUAAAAACUUUAUCAAUCAUAAAAU
rfam:Picea glauca, whole genome shotgun sequence.